GCGGCCGUGGCGGAAUUGGCAGACGCGCAGGCUUCAGGUGCCUGUGUCCGUAAGGACGUGGUGGUUCGAAUCCACUCGGCCGCA
rnacentral:tRNA from 1 species